UACAGAGGUCCCAAGCGUUGUUCGGAUUCACUGGGCGUAAAGGGUGCGUAGGCGGUCGGGUAAGUCUGGCGUGAAAUCUCACAGCUUAACUGUGAAACUGCAUUGGAUACUAUCCGGCUCGAGGAGUGGAGGGGAGACUGGAAUACUUGGUGUAGCAGUGAAAUGCGUAGAUAUCAAGUGGAACACCAGUGGCGAAGGCGAGUCUCUGGACAUUUCCUGACGCUGAGGCACGAAAGCCAGGGGAGCAAACGGG
rnacentral:rRNA from 1 species